UGGCGGCUGCCUAAUACAUGCAAGUCGAGCGAACAGAAAAGGAGCUUGCUCCUUUGACGUUAGCGGCGGACGGGUGAGUAACACGUGGGCAACCUACCUUAUAGUUUGGGAUAACUCCGGGAAACCGGGGCUAAUACCGAAUAAUCUAUUUCACUUCAUGGUGAAAUACUGAAAGACGGCAUCUCGCUGUCGCUAUAARAUGGGCCCGCGGCGCAUUAGCUAGUUGGUGAGGUAACGGCUCACCAAGGCGACAAUGCGUAGCCAACCUGAGAGGGUGAUCGGCCACACUGGGACUGAGACACGGCCCARACUCCUACGGGAGGCAGCAGUAGGGAAUCUUCCACAAUGGGCGAAAGCCUGAUGGAGCAACGCCGCGUGAGUGAAGAAGGUUUUCGGAUCGUAAAACUCUGUUGUAAGGGAAGAACAAGUACAGUAGUAACUGGCUGUACCUUGACGGUACCUUAUUAGAAAGCCACGGCUAACUACGUGCCAGCAGCCGCGGGUUAAUACA
rnacentral:rRNA from 1 species